UCUAAUUACUAAGGCCCAAAAUAAUUAGUCCACCAAGGGUUCAAUGUACUCCCCCCUCGGUCAACUCCUUUCUCUAACACCCUCACUUUCCUCUUUCCCCAAUUGAAUCUGGAGAGCAGCGAUACCUCCCCUCCUUCAAUUUUCCGACGGACGAAUCUCCGUCUGCCAGCUCGUCAGAGCUCCGCCAGCAUCGUAUACUCCUCUCUCACCUCUGAUCCUUUCUCCUUUCUUCCUCAAUCACUCAAUUUCCAAUUACAAAUUUUUGGGGAGCCCUAAUUGAAGAAGAAGCGGCGGCUCCUACUCAUCUCACCGGCGAAAUCGCCGUUCACCUCCUCUACUCGGCGUCACCACCUAUUUUUUUUCCUCUGUCAUGCAGCUCCUCGCCUCCCCCGAGCCCUCUCUCUCUCUCUCUCCCUCCGGCGAUGCCGUCGCACCUACGCCGUUAGCCUCCGCGAGUAGGUCCAUUGCCUGCGCCGCCUCCGGCUCGUCGGUGCCCGUUGCCUGGUGGGUCAGCCGUUGCUGCCCUAAGGAGACCUUCGGGGCUCCGUCGGUACUUGCUCGUCGCCGGACAACCCCUCGGCCUAAGCUAAGUCCUCUAACUCCUAAUACUUAACCCAUUUGUUGAGUUCUAGCUAUGACGAGUUGUUUCUUGACUGUUGGGAACCUCUUUAAACUUGUUGGGACUGAUUUGUAGAUUGCUCACUGGAAUGAACUUGAGUUGCUUAACUUGUUACUAAUUUUGGCUAAAAACAGCUUAUGGUUGCUCUUGUUAUUUUUAGAGUCGAAGAUUCAAAUGCUAAAGACGUUGUGGAGGAACGAGUUUGCUACUGUUCUGUUAAAUCUUAGCAUACUGAAAUGUUUUCUCUAAGAUUAUUCAUGCUUUCCUAUUCUAACUGUGAAAUGCAUGAAGAUGCAAGGACGAGAGUGUGGUUACCUGACUUUUUUUCUUUGGGUGGCUGUCGGAUUUGGUUUAAGCUGGAGUUGCAAGGCAGCUCAUUUUACUCCUUUCCUUGCUAACACUCUCUCUCAUUUAUGGUGGUGAAAAGGAUUUGUGUAACCAGAGAAACAAAUUGGAGCUUUGCACCUAUAUAUACUGAAUUCUGUUGGAAAUUUGGCAGAUAAACCUGUCACUCCUUUUUGGUGUUGUUUUGUGAUUGGCUACUUAUCUAGUGAAUUAGUUGUGCAGGCUGCAGGAUGUACAUGUGAGUAAGGAGACUAUUGGGAUUUGGUCAAAGAUGCAAACCUAUGCUCCUUGGCUUUUUUAUAAUUGUUUUCGGCAGCUUGUGCUCCUUCACUAUUUGUUAACUUGCUGCAUACAUCUCUCCUUUACUGUGGGUGUACAAGGAGGAUUGCUACAAUUGAUGGGAGUGGGAGGAGAGAGCAGGCUAUCCAUUGUCAUUUUUUUGGGAGGUCUUUGACUUCCUUUUUUCUAAAGCAUUUCUUGUCCAUGGCUUGCUUAAUAUGUAAAAGGUGGCUGAUUUGGUCCAAGAGAAUCAUAACCAUCUUUGUUUCCUUCUUGCCGAGACUUUAAUGGGAUUUGUUUCUUCCUAAAGGGGCUGGUACAACUAAAGUUGGUAGCUGAAUUUAGACAUAAAGUGGGGUCUUGUAGCUGAUCGAUUGAUGCCCUAGGUGGCUGCUAUGUGGCUGACCUUCAAGCAAUUGGGCUGGGUUUUGGAAGAAUUUGGGCUCAAGAGAAAUUAGACAUAGCCCAACACUUGUAUUUUAUGGACUUGGUUGCUUAUUGGGAUUUCAAUUCUUUGUACUAAACGAAAUUAAAAAAAAUUCUCUUGAUCGGUCGUAAA